AAGAAGGUCCGGCUAACUUCGUGCCAGCAGCCGCGGUAGUACGAAGGGACCUAGCGUAGUUCGGAAUUACUGGGCUUAAAGAGCACGUAGGUGGUUAGAAAAGUUGGUGGUGAAAUCCCAAGGCUUAACCUUGGAACUGCCAUCAAAACUUUUUAACUAGAGUAUGAUUGAGGUAAGCGGAAUUUCUAGUGUAGAGGUGAAAUUCGUAGAUAUUAGAAAGAACACCGAUUGCGAAGGCAGCUUUCUAGAUCAUUACUGACACUGAGGUGCGAAAGCAUGGGUAGCGAAGAGGAUUAGAUACCCUCGUAGUCCAUGCUGUAAACGAUGUGUGCUAGACGUUGGGAAUUUAUUUUUCAGUGUCGCAGCAAAAGCGUUAAGCACACCGCCUGGGGAGUACGACCGCAAGGUUAAAACUCAAAUGAAUUGACGGGGACCCGCACAAGUAGUGGAGCAUGUGGUUUAAUUCGAAGAUACGCGCAGAACCUUACCAACACUUGACAUGUUCGUCGCGACUCUAAGAGAUUAGAGUUUUCGGUUCGGCCGGACGAAACACAGGUGCUGCAUGGCUGCCGUCAGCUCGUGUCGUGAGAUGUUGGGUUAAGUCCCGCAACGAGCGCAACCCUUACUUUUAGUUGCUACCAUUCAGUUGGGCACUCUAAAAGAACUGCCAGUGAUAAGCUGGAGGAAGGUGGGGAUGACGUCAAGUCCUCAUGGCCCUUAUGUGUUGGGCUACACACGUGCUACAAUGGUAUUUACAGUGGGAUGCAAAGAGGCGACUCCAAGCAAACCCUCAAAAAGUACCUCAGUUCGGAUUGUACUCUGCAACUCGAGUACAUGAAGCUGGAAUUACUAGUAAUCGUGAAUCAGAAUGUCACGGUGAAUACGUUCCCGGGCCUUGUACACACCGCCCGUCACACCAUGGGAGUGGGUUGCUCCAGAAGUAGAUAGCCUAACCUUCGGGGGGGCGUUACCACGG
rnacentral:rRNA from 1 species